GGGGGUAUGGCGAAAUCGGUAGACGCUACGGACUUGAGGAAAAUCCGUCGACUUUAAAAAUCGUGAGGGUUCAAGUCCCUCUAUC
rnacentral:tRNA from 1 species